CCUCUCGCGUCAAGAUAUGCCUAGGUGGGAUUAGCUAGUUGGUGAGGUAAUGGCUCACCAAGGCGACGAUCCCUAGCUGGUCUGAGAGGAUGAUCAGCCACACUGGAACUGAGACACGGUCCAGACUCCUACGGGAGGCAGCAGUGGGGAAUAUUGCACAAUGGGCGAAAGCCUGAUGCAGCCAUGCCGCGUGUAUGAAGAAGGCCUUCGGGUUGUAAAGUACUUUCAGUUGUGAGGAAGGGGGUAGUGUUAAUAGCGCUAUCUCUUGACGUUAGCAACAGAAGAAGCACCGGCUAACUCCGUGCCAGCAGCCGCGGUAAUACGGAGGGUGCGAGCGUUAAUCGGAAUUACUGGGCGUAAAGCGCAUGCAGGUGGUUCAUUAAGUCAGAUGUGAAAGCCCGGGGCUCAACCUCGGAACUGCAUUUGAAACUGGUGAGCUAGAGUACUGUAGAGGGGGGUAGAAUUUCAGGUGUAGCGGUGAAAUGCGUAGAGAUCUGAAGGAAUACCAGUGGCGAAGGCGGCCCCCUGGACAGAUACUGACACUCAGAUGCGAAAGCGUGGGGAGCAAACAGGAUUAGAUACCCUGGUAGUCCACGCCGUAAACGAUGUCUACUUGGAGGUUGUGGCCUUGAGCCGUGGCUUUCGGAGCUAACGCGUUAAGUAGACCGCCUGGGGAGUACGGUCGCAAGAUUAAAACUCAAAUGAAUUGACGGGGGCCCGCACAAGCGGUGGAGCAUGUGGUUUAAUUCGAUGCAACGCGAAGAACCUUACCUACUCUUGACAUCCAGAGAAGCCAGCGGAGACGCAGGUGUGCCUUCGGGAGCUCUGAGACAGGUGCUGCAUGGCUGUCGUCAGCUCGUGUUGUGAAAUGUUGGGUUAAGUCCCGCAACGAGCGCAACCCUUAUCCUUGUUUGCCAGCGAGUAAUGUCGGGAACUCCAGGGAGACUGCCGGUGAUAAACCGGAGGAAGGUGGGGACGACGUCAAGUCAUCAUGGCCCUUACGAGUAGGGCUACACACGUGCUACAAUGGCGCAUACAGAGGGCAGCAAGCUAGCGAUAGUGAGCGAAUCCCAAAAAGUGCGUCGUAGUCCGGAUUGGAGUCUGCAACUCGACUCCAUGAAGUCGGAAUCGCUAGUAAUCGUAGAUCAGAAUGCUACGGUGAAUACGUUCCCGGGCCUUGUACACACCGCCCGUCACACCAUGGGAGUGGGCUGCAAAAGAAGUGGGUAGUUUAACCUUUCGGGGAGGACGCUCACCACUUUGUGGUUCAUGACUGGGGUGAAGUCGUAACAAGGUAGCCCUAGGGGAACCUGGGGCUGGAUCACCUCCUUAUACGAAGAUAC
rnacentral:rRNA from 1 species